rnacentral:rRNA from 1 species
CCUACGGGCGGCAGCAGUGGGGAAUAUUGGACAAUGGGGGGAACCCUGAUCCAGCCAUGCCGCGUGUGUGAAGAAGGCCCUCGGGUUGUAAAGCACUUUCAGUGAGGAAGAACGCCUGGUGGUUAAUACCCAUCAGGAAAGACAUCACUCACAGAAGAAGCACCGGCUAACUCCGUGCCAGCAGCCGCGGUAAUACGGAGGGUGCGAGCGUUAAUCGGAAUUACUGGGCGUAAAGCGCGCGUAGGUGGCUUGAUAAGCCGGUUGUGAAAGCCCCGGGCUCAACCUGGGAACGGCAUCCGGAACUGUCAAGCUAGAGUGCAGGAGAGGAAGGUAGAAUUCGCGGGGUAGCGGUGAAAUGCGUAGAGAUCGGGAGGAAUACCAGUGGCGAAGGCGGCCUUCUGGACUGACACUGACACUGAGGUGCGAAAGCGUGGGUAGCAAACAGGAUUAGAUACCCUGGUAGUC